AGAGUUUGAUCCUGGCUCAGAACGAACGCUGGCGGCACGCCUAACACAUGCAAGUCGAACGAACCCUUCGGGGUUAGUGGCGCACGGGUGCGUAACGCGUGGGAAUCUGCCCUUUGCUUCGGAAUAACAGUUAGAAAUGACUGCUAAUACCGGAUGAUGUCUUCGGACCAAAGAUUUAUCGGCAAAGGAUGAGCCCGCGUAGGAUUAGGUAGUUGGUGGGGUAAAGGCCUACCAAGCCGACGAUCCUUAGCUGGUCUGAGAGGAUGAUCAGCCACACUGGGACUGAGACACGGCCCAGACUCCUACGGGAGGCAGCAGUGGGGAAUAUUGGACAAUGGACGCAAGUCUGAUCCAGCAAUGCCGCGUGAGUGAUGAAGGCCUUAGGGUUGUAAAGCUCUUUUACCAGGGAUGAUAAUGACAGUACCUGGAGAAUAAGCUCCGGCUAACUCCGUGCCAGCAGCCGCGGUAAUACGGAGGGAGCUAGCGUUGUUCGGAAUUACUGGGCGUAAAGCGCACGUAGGCGGUUACUCAAGUCAGAGGUGAAAGCCCGGGGCUCAACCCCGGAACUGCCUUUGAAACUAGGUAACUAGAAUCCUGGAGGGGUGAGUGGAAUUCCGAGU
rnacentral:rRNA from 1 species